rnacentral:rRNA from 1 species
GACGAACGCUGGCGGCGUGCUUAACACAUGCAAGUCGAACGGAAAGGCCCUGCUUUUGUGGGGUGCUCGAGUGGCGAACGGGUGAGUAACACGUGAGUAACCUGCCCUUAACUUUGGGAUAACUUCAGGAAACUGGGGCUAAUACCGGAUAGGAGCUCCUGCUGCAUGGUGGGGGUUGGAAAUUUUCGGCGGUUGGGGAUGGACUCGCGGCUUAUCAGCUUGUUGGUGGGGUAGUGGCUUACCAAGGCUUUGACGGGUAGCCGGCCUGAGAGGGUGACCGGCCACAUUGGGACUGAGAUACGGCCCAGACUCCUACGGGAGGCAGCAGUGGGGAAUAUUGCACAAUGGGCGGAAGCCUGAUGCAGCAACGCCGCGUGCGGGAUGACGGCCUUCGGGUUGUAAAACGCUUUCGCCUGUGACGAAGCGUGAGUGACGGUAAUGGGUAAAGAAGCACCGGCUAACUACGUG